rnacentral:rRNA from 1 species
UACGAAGGGGGCUAGCGUUGUUCGGAAUCACUGGGCGUAAAGCGCACGUAGGCGGAUGUGCCAGUCAGGGUGAAAUCCUGGAGCUCAACUCCAGAACUGCCUUUGAUACUGAGGAUCUUGAGUAACGGGAGAGGUGAGUGGAACUGCGAGUGUAGAGGUGAAAUUCGUAGAUAUUCGCAAGAACACCAGUGGCGAAGGCGGACUC